rnacentral:tRNA from 1 species
NNGUAGUUUAAUGGUAAAACCACAGCCUUCCAAGCUGUUGUCGUGGGUUCGAUUCCCAUCACCC